rnacentral:rRNA from 1 species
AUUGAACGCUGGCGGCAGGCCUAACACAUGCAAGUCGAACGGUAACAGGAAACAGCUUGCUGUUUCGCUGACGAGUGGCGGACGGGUGAGUAAUGUCUGGGAAACUGCCUGAUGGAAGGGGGAUAACUACUGGAAACGGUAGCUAAUACCGCAUAACGUCGCAAGACCAAAGAGGGGGACCCUCGGGCCUCUUGCCAUCGGAUGUGCCCAGAUGGGAUUAGCUUGUUGGUGGGGUAACGGCUCACCAAGGCGACGAUCCCUAGCUGGUCUGAGAGGAUGACCAGCCACACUGGAACUGAGACACGGUCCAGACUCCUACGGGAGGCAGCAGUGGGGAAUAUUGCACAAUGGGCGCAAGCCUGAUGCAGCCAUGCCGCGUGUAUGAAGAAGGCCUUCGGGUUGUAAAGUACUUUCAGCGGGGAGGAAGGGAGUAAAGUUAAUACCUUUGCUCAUUGACGUUACCCGCAGAAGAAGCACCGGCUAACUCCGUGCCAGCAGCCGCGGUAAUACGGAGGGUGCAAGCGUUAAUCGGAAUUACUGGGCGUAAAGCGCACGCAGGCGGUUUGUUAAGUCAGAUGUGAAAUCCCCGGGCUCAACCUGGGAACUGCAUCUGAUACUGGCAAGCUUGAGUCUCGUAGAGGGGGGUAGAAUUCCAGGUGUAGCGGUGAAAUGCGUAGAGAUCUGGAGGAAUACCGGUGGCGAAGGCGGCCCCCUGGACGAAGACUGACGCUCAGGUGCGAAAG